UUCUUCUUUCCUGCUCCAUUUUCAGCUCCGCUCUGAGGAACAAGGACAUGAACAGAUCAGACAUAUAACUCGGCACAGAGAGAGGGAAACCUGAACCCCCAUAGCCCAGCCCCCUGGUAUACAGAGGGGGCUUUGCAGUGGUACCUGCACCUGCUGCUAUCCACCCCCCCCCCCCCCCUCGUGAGGAACAGCCCCCAUGGAGCCCUGCUACAGACUAGCCACUCAACAUCUACCAAACACAAUACCGGAAACAAUAGCAACAUGCCACCCGGUGCCAGCUAAGCCAUGCAGGUUUCCAGGCCGGGGAUGGGCUCAGGCUUCGGGACCAGGCCCAGACACGGGGGCACUGAC